ACCCUGAAAGAGUUGUGAGGAAAAGAGAGUACCAAUAUUACGUGGUAACCUUGUUAAGAGGCCUUAGAAAGCUGAAUCAAUUCAGCUAAUCUCAUGAAGGCAGAAGACCAUUCCAGUUUUGCUUUGUCCUUUCAAAAAACCUACGGAUUUUGCUGACUAGCUUCUGCUUACUGUUUGCAGUAAUUGGUGGCAAACACAAAGCUAAUUCCUUAUUAUAUAACACUUUCAGAGGGUUAAUGUGUAAGCUGUUGAGUACAAAAUAAUAAGCCAAUGAGGUUGUACCUAGGAGAGCAAAGAUCUUUAAUUCAGAUUCUCCAUUGUUGCAUUUUGUUUUAUAUCUCUUAUCACUGUUCUCUUUUAUGUACACUUAAAGUAUUUACUUUGGGUAAAGUCAUGCAAAACAAAAGCUGGCCAGAGUAAGCUGACACAGUGCACAGUGAAGACUUGGUUAUCCAUACCCAAGUAGAAAGUCUGUAUGUUAACUCAUAUCUCCAGUUCUUAAGAACUUAUAGGGUAAAGACUUUACAGAAGGGGGACACCUGAGAAACAUGAGUUAUUUACAGCAGUAGGAUGGUUAUCUUUACUAGAAAAGUGGAAUGUGAUUAAGUUUAACAAUAUUAUCAAAGUCUCCCCCCCCCACACACACAGAGCAGUGGGUUUGGGGAAUAGAAGCAGAACGGCAACAGUGAGAAACUCAUGGGUUGAGUUGAAGACAGUUAAGUAAGUAAAAACAAUACAAAACCAAGAAAAACACGUGGUGUAAAAAAACCACCUGGCUGACCACCAGGUGACCAAUGCUCAGCCAGCCCCUGAGCAACAGCAGUCCUGGAAAACUUCCCCCUAGUUUUUGUUGCUGAGCACGACACCACAUGGCAUGGGACAUCCCUUUGGGCAGUUGGGGCCAGCUGUCCUGGCUGUGCCCCUCCCAGCUUCGUGUGCAGCCCCGGCCUCCUCACUAGUGGGACAGUGUGAGAAGCUGAAAAGACGUUGACCGAGUAUAUAUCUUGGGUUUCUGACUAUGUAUGCUUGCAGUCAAAAGGCACCAUUUGACUGGCAUGUUCCCAUACAUGAAAUACCAGUGGAUCUUCUGACAAAAUAUUGCAAGGAAUGAGAUAGUAGUUCUGAACUCUUACAAAAACACACUGCACUUCAAGGAAAUAAAAGGCAAAAAUUAUCUGAGUUUCCAUUAAUAAACCCGAAUGAAGUUUU